rnacentral:rRNA from 1 species
UACGUAGGGUGCGAGCGUUAAUCGGAAUUACUGGGCGUAAAGCGUGCGCAGGCGGUUCGUUGUGUCGGUGGUGAAAUCCCCGGGCUUAACCUGGGAAUGGCCAUGGAAACUGGCGAACUGGAGUGCGGCAGGGGGGGGUGGAAUUCCGCGUGUAGCAGUGAAAUGCGUAGAGAUGCGGAGGAACACCGAUGGCGAAGGCAGCCCCCUGGGCUAGCACUGACGCUCAGGCACGAAAGCGUGGGGAGCAAACAGG